CUCCCUUCUUGCUGCCGUCCAAAAGAGAUUUUAGACCUCUUUUCUCUGGUGAAUUAGAGAGUUCAGGAAGAGUGCUUCUAGAUCUAAACAAGGAAGAUUCAAAUCUGGAAGAGAAAGGAUUUACAAGAGAAAAAAAAUCCUAUCAAGAAGGUACUGCCCCAAAAAUUUACUACAGAGGAUCCUGAGCAUCUCAUCUUCAUGGAGCUAUUUCUUAACGCCUAAGCUCUGAAAAUUUUAGGCAUUAAACUAGUAGGUUCACGGCUCAUUUACAUCUCUACUAUUUUAAUUACGGCC
rnacentral:lncRNA from 1 species